UUAAUCACUCACACUUGAAUUCAACAAUGAAACUUAACCGACGGGACAUGCCUCUUGACUACACCGUCAGGAAGACUUUCGAUACCCUGAUUUAGAUACCACUUGUUGGGGAGUCCGAGAGAGCGUGAGAGCAACAAUGGAAAAAAUAUUUCAAGACCAUAAGAGACUUUGACACCAUAUUAAUGAAGUUCUUUGGAUAUAUAAGGGAGGUGAUCCAUAUACCUAAUGUCUUCAGAUUUUGGGGUGAGAUGUGGUGUCAAAGUCUCUUGUGGUCAUGAAGUAUUUGGUCCCUUGAUGCUCUCGCGCUCUCCUAAACUCCCCAAUAGAUUGAAGGUUGAGAGUAAUACAUACUAGACAAUUAUUAUUUAUUAUUGUACUUGCACUUCAAGAACUUCAAUUUAAUCUCACUAAAGAUUUCAGUUGAACCAAUUGGAAAUAGACAUGAUAUAGAGAUCACAUUGCAUGAAAUUUCCAUGUCACACAUCCAUAUCGAUCUAUGUCAUCAAAUGCAUUGAUGUGGUCAUAGUUAUUUAGUCACGUUAUACAUUAGUGACAAUAUUCACGGUGGUCGCAUUAUUGUUGAAUGAGGUAGACCAAAUUGUAAAGAAAAAAUAUAAAGAUAAGUAG
rnacentral:lncRNA from 1 species